rnacentral:rRNA from 1 species
CACGUAGGGGGCAAGCGUUGUCCGGAUUUAUUGGGCGUAAAGAGCUCGUAGGCGGCUCAGUAAGUCAGGUGUGAAACCUCCAGGCUCAACCUGGAGACGCCACCUGAUACUGCUGUGGCUAGAGUCCGGUAGGGGAGCGUGGAAUUCCUGGUGUAGCGGUGAAAUGCGCAGAUAUCAGGAGGAACACCGGUGGCGAAGGCAGCACUCUGGGACGGUACUGACGCUGAGACGCGAAAGCGUGGGGAGCGAACAGG